AGUGAACGCUGGCGGUAGGCCUAACACAUGCCAGUCGAACGGAAGCACAGUAAGAGCUUGCUCUUACGGGUAGCGAGGGGCGGACGGGUGAGGCAUGCAUCGGAAUCUACUUUUUCGUGGGGGAUAUCGGAGGGAAAGUUACGCUAAUACCGCAUACGACCUACGGGUGAAAUCAGAGGAUCUUCGGACCUUGCGCGAUUGAAUGAGCCGAUGUCGGAUUAGCUAGUUGGCGGGGUAAAGGCACACCAAGGCGACGAUACGUAGCUGGUCUGAGAGGAUGAUCAGCCACACUGGAACUGAGACACGGUCCAGACUCCUACGGGAGGCAGCAGUGGGGAAUAUUGGACAAUGGGCGCAAGCCUGACCCAGCCAUACCGCGUGGGUGAAGAAGGCCUUCGGGUUGUAAAGCCCUUUUGUUGGGAAAGAAAAGCAGCAGGUUAAUACCCCGCUGUUCUGACGGUACCCAAACAAUAAGCACCGGCUAACUUCGUG
rnacentral:rRNA from 1 species